GUUGAAUCUGUGUGUCACGAUGUCGGUUCACCGCUCGCGCGGUGUUUAACUGGCAUGCCGUGAGACGUCCUACCGGUGGGCUUAGCUCCCGCGGAUGCGCUCGUGUAAAAGCGGGUCUCCGCGCGGGGCGGUCCAACUAAUAUCCCAUCGCGGUGCUCUUCAUCGAGUGUCGAGGUGGGCCGGUACGUUUACUUUGAACAAAUUAGAGUGCUUAAAGCAGGCUAACCUCGCCUGAAUACUGUGUGCAUGGAAUAAUGGAAUAGGACCUCGGUUCUAUUUUGUUGGUUUUCGGAACCCCGAGGUAAUGAUUAAUAGGGACAGAUGGGGGCAUUCGUAUUGCGACGUUAGAGGUGAAAUUCUUGGAUCGUCGCAAGACGGACAGAAGCGAAAGCAUUUGCCAAAAAUGUUUUCAUUAAUCAAGAACGAAAGUUAGAGGUUCGAAGGCGAUCAGAUACCGCCCUAGUUCUAACCAUAAACGAUGCCAGCUAGCGAUCCGCCGAAGUUCCUCCGAUGACUCGGCGGGCAGCUUCCGGGAAACCAAAGCUUUUGGGUUCCGGGGGAAGUAUGGUUGCAAAGCUGAAACUUAAAGGAAUUGACGGAAGGGCACCACCAGGAGUGGAGCCUGCGGCUUAAUUUGACUCAACACGGGAAACCUCACCAGGCCCGGACACCGGAAGGAUUGACAGAUUGAUAGCUCUUUCUUGAUUCGGUGGGUGGUGGUGCAUGGCCGUUCUUAGUUGGUGGAGCGAUUUGUCUGGUUAAUUCCGAUAACGAACGAGACUCUAGCCUGCUAAAUAGGCGUAAUUUAUGGUAUCUCGAAGGCCACCGGCUUUCAGUCGGUCGGUUUUUACUACCGACGUACAAACAAAUCUUCUUAGAGGGACAGGCGGCUUCUAGCCGCACGAGAUUGAGCAAUAACAGGUCUGUGAUGCCCUUAGAUGUUCUGGGCCGCACGCGCGCUACACUGAAGGAAUCAGCGUGUUUUCCCUGUCCGAAAGGUCCGGGUAACCCGCUGAACCUCCUUCGUGCUAGGGAUUGGGGCUUGCAAUUAUUCCCCAUGAACGAGGAAUUCCCAGUAAGCGCGAGUCAUAAGCUCGCGUUGAUUACGUCCCUGCCCUUUGUACACACCGCCCGUCGCUACUACCGAUUGAAUGAUUUAGUGAGGUCUUCGGACUGGUGCGCGGCAAUGUUUCGGCAUUGCCGAUGUUGCCGGGAAGAUGACC
rnacentral:rRNA from 1 species